rnacentral:lncRNA from 1 species
UUUAUUUGCUUAGUUGCUUCAAUUAUCUUCUCAUCCUUAUCAUGUAUUUUGAAAUUAAAAGAAAUAUUGAAUGUAAAAAAUGAGAUUUUUUACUAAAAGUUAUUUUAGAGAUAAAAUAUGAAAUUGACAUCAAAAGAAAAUUUUACAACCAAUAUGUACGGCAUCAUCAACAAUUAAAUUAAAAAAAUUGAUAAAAAUUCAACAUGAUUAAACAAAUCAAUAAUAUAAAUAGUACAUGUAAGAACCAAUUUUGGCCUGGGCCCAUACACAUACAAAAAACCAAAAAUAUAAAUAUUAAAUAAGUCCAUUUACAAAUAAUAGCCAGCCCAAUUACAUUAAAUAAUUUCCCAAUACCCUAAAAAUACAAAGGCCCGAUAGGCCCAAAGUUUUAAGGGUUUCGGAAACCCUAGGGUUCCCUUGCGUCGCAGCACCCACGUUCAACGCCCGUCCACCACGCACGUUGGCACACCAAGCACGACCCCCAGCUCGCUCAUUGCUCGCCCACAUCCACGUCUCCACGACCUGUGAUUUGAGCAAGAAAACAAUAGGAAAACUACUUGUAUUCGGCUAUAAAAGCCUCCAAAAUUUUCAUUGUAAAGGGCUUUUUUUUUGGGGAAAAAAUAGAAUAUAGAGGCAAUAUCAAACACAUACAGAAAGAUAUAACAACCAUAUUUGUUGAAGGUGAUUCAAAGUCUCAUUUUUCUUUCAAUUUUAUUUUCAUUUUCUUUGAUUUUUUUUAUCUACCGUAUGUAAACAAUAAGAGAAAGGGGGAGAAGCUCACCGGAGUCACCGUCGGAGGGCCUUCGCUGGUCGCGAAUGGAGGGCCUGGGCACUAGCCUUUUGGCUGGGAAGCAAGGGGAGAGUAAGAGAUUAGAGAGCAUUAGGGUUUUUUUUUAAAAAAAAUAAAAAUCAAAUGGUUUUUAAAACAGUUUUUUUAAUUUAAGUAAUAAAUUUUAAACAGCAGCAUUUGGGGUGGGGGGAAGGCGUGUUGACCCAAUUGCUAGGCUGGGUCCAUGCAUUUUACCUUAAAUGGGUAAUUUGCGCGGCCAAUUCUUCCCUUUUGCGCUAGUGUUCGAUUGGGUCCUUUCCAUGCUUUCUUUAAUUCUUUUAAACUGCCCCAGGAAUUUGCGCGGGUGUUCAUCUUAGUCCGUGCUGAAACGGUUCAUUUGGGGUUUGGUUAAUUUUCAAUUUCAGUCCCCAAACGUUGGAGCACGUUUUACUUUGGCCCAAAAUUCUGUUUAAAUGGUUUGCUUUGUUCAAAAAUUGUCCCUUUAAUUUUGUUUUUCUUCCAGUUAAGUUUUUUAUUCUUUUUUUCUAUAAAAUAAGAAUAUAUUAUUUUAAUAUAUACUUUUGUUUAACAAAAUUGAUAUAUUUAUUUUUGUAUAUAUUAUUUUAACAAGUUAAGAAUAUAUUGUUUUUUUUAUGUGCAUAUUUAUUUGUUUUUUCUUCCAAAAUACUUUCAUAUAUUAUUUUGUAUUUAUAUACUUUGCUUAUAUUAAAUUUUCUUUAUUUCAUGUAUAUACGUAACUUAUACUAAGUUCUUUUUACACUAAGUGUACAUUAUUGACUUCCUUUUAUUUUAUGUAAAUAUUCUCUCUUAAAUUUAUUAUAUAUAUAUAUAUAUAUUCUUUUAAAUUUAUUUAUGUAUAAUUUGGUUCUCUCUUAGGGAUCUUAUUUUAAUUUUUUUUAUAUUUUAAAGACUUUAGUAACUUUGUUUAUGCAUUUUUUUUCCAUUUUCAUAUAUGUAUCAUUAGUCAAAUUAAUUUGUUUUACUUGUUAUUAUGUUAUGUAUUAUUUGUUUCGCAUUUCUUCCUGCAUAUUGUAUAUAUAUUAAUGAUUGUUUAUAUAUUAUCAGUUUUUGUGUACAUAUAAGUUAUGUUGAAUUUUAACAUGUGUUAUUCCUUUGUAUAUUUUUCAUACGAGUUUUUGAAUUGUUUUGCGAUAGUUCCUAGUUUUCAUAUGGUCUUAUGUACUAUGAGUUUUUUUUCCAUAUUUUAUUGUUUUAUACAUAUAAUUAUAUUUUUAUUUCUUAUUGUUGCAUCAUGAUUAUAAUUCCCAUAUCCACUUAAUAUCGAUUGUCCUUUAUUUCAAACAAAUCAAGCAAGUAUAUUUUGACUCGACUUUUGUAAUUGCUUAUUUGAAACUUCACAAAUCAAGGCAAUGUUUCGUGUUUAGAAAUUCGAGGAAUCGUGCCCUAACGUGCUGGGUUUCGAUUUAUCGUUGGACUAAAUAACCGAAUACCCUUUUAAAAAUUUUCGUCUCGUGUUUUGGAAAUCAUGAGGUGAUCUCAGUUUUUGGAGGCUUAAAAUAUCGUGUCCUAACGUGCUGGAUGUGGUAUUUUAUUCCUUUGGAACGAGUGAAUCUUAAAAUCCAACUUGAGUUGUUUCGCGUGUUCUGGGAAUCAUGAGGUGAUCUCAGUUUUUUAGAGGUUUAAAAUAUCCUGUCCUAACAUGCUGGAUGUGGUAUUUAAUUCCUUUGAAACGAGUGAAUCUUAAAAUCCAUCAUGAGUUGUGCACACAUUUUUAAGGGGAUCGUAUUUCAAUGUUUUUUUUUUAAUUUUCAACAUUAGGAUAAAAAUGAAUCAAUUAGGUACCAAUUUUGGGGGUUACGAGGGUGCUAAUCCUUCAUCGUAUGUAACCGACUCCCUAACCCAUUUCUUGAUUUUUCGUAGGCCGAAAUCCAUAUCUUAAUGAAAUGAUUUAUUAGGUGACCCGAUCACACUUAAACUAAAAAAGAUUGGUGGCGACUCCAUAAUUCGUUUUUAAAGACGAUCCUCGUUUUUCAAAAUAAAAAUGGUUUCGACAGCUUGGCGACUCCACUGGGGACCAAUAAGAGAGUCAAGCCAUAAAAUUGAUUAUUUUCUGUCCUUUUGUUGAAAAUUUAAAAUUUGAAUUUUAACAUACGAUCCUUUUAUUGCAUUUCAUGAGUUUUAUGGUUUUUGUCAUUUUAUUCGUGUUUUGCAUUUUGAGUUUUUUAUAUCCCCUCGCAUCAUCUUGCAUGACAGUUGUGGUCGCACAUUUUUAAGUGGGAGUGAGAAACUAUGCCUCCGUGAGGUUUUCACCUCCGCAUGGGCUAGUGGACUGCUUCCGGGAUACAUCCGUACCUAUGUCUUCGUGAGGUUUUCACCUCUGCAUGGCCAUAGGGAAAUGUAUUCCCCUGAAUUGAACUUGAUCCACAUGAGCCUAUAAUGGGUGACGGUUGAGGAAUCUGCUAGUUCAGGUGCCUUUUUCUAGAACCGAGCCACAUAUAGUGAACUCUAGGAGCCCGCCCUAGGUAGAGCUAUGUUGAACCCUAGCGUUCACCCAGUUAGGUGUUUGAUUAUUUUCUAUUUGCUUUGAUUUUUUAUUUUUCGAUACUAACUUGUUGUGUUUUGUUGUGGUUAUGUUUGCAUGUCAUUUCAUAUUAAAGAGGUGUCAAUUUCUGUUCGGUUGCUAAAUUAGAAAACUGGUUAUGGAGAGCGAAUUCCUUGAUAAAGUGAAGAUAAUGCGGCUGUCCGUAUGUGGUCAGAGAAUAUGCUAUUGGAGAAAAGGGAUAGCUUGGUUGAGGGGUGUACAUCGGAAUUGGGGAACUUCACUCGUAUUAAUGUGACCCAAAAUGAACUCCAAGAGCUGAGGGAUAUAUGGGCCAGUUGGGAUGAUAAGGCUAGGCAGCUGUUCUAUCAAAAUUAUGGCGACUUACUCUACCUGCUUGACGUCAAGGUGGACAAGUACUUAUUUCAGGCUAUGGCUUAGUUCUGGAACCCGGCAUAUAGUUGUUUCACCUUUGGGAAGGUGGACUUGGUGCCUACUGUGUAAGAGUAUACAGCUUUGCUUAGUUGUCCAAAGGUUCAAGUCGACAAAAUUUAUUCCAAGGCUGCUAGUACCCCGACUUUUGUAAAGAAGUUAAUGGGUAUCACUGGGAUGAGUGAAUAGUAGGUUACAGCCCGAAUUCAGCAAAAGGGUGAUGGUAAGUGCAUUCCUUGGGUGAUUUUGAGGGACUUGAUCAUGGCACAUCCAGAUACAAAGAGGAAAGUGGAUGUUUUCGCCUUGAGUAUCUAUGGUUUGGUGAUUUUCCCCAAAUCUUUAAGGCAUAUAGAUGAAGCAGUUGUAGAUUUCUUUGAUUGACUUGACAAAGGGGUCACAUCGGUGCUGACAAUUCUAGCUGAGACAUUCAGAUCUUUGAGUGCAUGUCGGAGGGCAAGUGAAGGAAGAUUUAUAGGGUGUGCGCAAUUGUUGCUGGCUUAGUUCCACAGCCAUUUUUGGAAGGUGGAUAAGGUUUCUUAUCGGGUUUUCUCUGAGAGUUGCUCCCCAUUAAAGGAAAUAACAACCAUGUCCAGGAGAGAUGACAUAUCAGAAGAAAAUUAUAUCGUGCUCCUUUGAAAUCUUCAGGAAGAGGAUGUUGAGUGGAGAGCUCAUUGGUUUGUUCCUGAUGAGAUUCUUUAUCGGUGUGGGAGUUUUGACUAGGUACCUCUGCCUGGAAUUUGGGGAGCUGUUGGAUAUGCCCAUUUGCUCGUUUUAGGACAAUACAAAUCAAGGCAGUUUAUGCCGAUGACACAUGGACUAGCCCAGAGUGAGUUCUCGUAUAGGGAGAACAAUUAUAAGAAGAAGGUUUGAGAGAUUUCUGAUACUUGGAAAUAGAUGCGCCGAAUAAAGAGAUAGCUGUUGGAUCAAUGACGACUCCUGAACAUAAGAGGUGGUUGAGUAAAAGAGUUAAUGAUAAUAUCCCUGAGCCGAGUUUAGAGGGUGUUCGUGCGAUGGAAGAAUACUUGCAAGUAAUCCCUUCCGAGCUUGAAAUCUUAAAAUGGGACUUCGAAGAGAGAAAUACGGAAUUAGGGAAAAAAAUAGAACAAUUGGAGGAAGAAAAGAUGCAUUUGAGGUUGGAUGUCGAUGUUCAGAAACUCGAGGCUAAAAAGUUGAAGAAAGGGAAAAGAAGGGUUGAGAAAGACUUGGACAGUUUGAAAUUUGAUUACAAGAAACUGCGUAUGUCAAUGAGAACUACCGGAUUGGGGAAGACGUCAGAACAGUGGUGACAGGAAAUUCAAGAGGAAAAGGCUAGAGCUGAUCAGUGGGAGAAGAGGUUCCAUGAUGCUCGAGCACGAGAAAAUACUUUAAAAAAGAGCUUAGUUGAAGGCCAAGAUGAGAAAAAGAUGUUGGUAGCUCGGGUAGCGGAGUUAGAGAAUGCACUGUAUCUGUACUGUGGUCGUAACUCUGACAUUGAAUUAAGGGCCAGCCUGAAUAGGAUUGAGGAUUUGAAAGGAAAAGUGGAAGAACUUGAGAUUACGCUACAGAAUUGUGAGCUCCAAAUUGAAUUCCUUGAGUUGAACAAUGAGCAGUGGAAGGAACAGCUCCGUCAAUCGCAAGACCAAGUCAGGGAAAGAGAUUAUAUCAUGGGCGAGGCCGUGGCUCAGAUUCAAGAAGUGACCGAUCAUCUACAGACCGUAGUGGUUCAAGCUGAUGUGUUAAGUGUGAAGUAUGAGUUAGAGUCAGACCGGGGUCGUGAGCUAGCUUGCCUUCUUAAAAAAGUUAAAGCUUUGAGCAUUAGGGCUAGGCCGUAUAUAUGAUCUGUUUUAUGUAAAGGAUUUUGCUUUCUAAUAAAGUUUUUUAAAUGGAAUUGAAUUAGAAUCGACGUCUCUUUAAUUGUACAUUCAUCUCAUGCAUUUGCAUUCAUUGCAUCAUGUGCAUUAAAUUUCAUAAAAAGAACCUUAAUUAAUUGAAAAUUGUAUGAUAGUUACCUUGGAACACCAAUAUUACACACGGAAAAAGACCAAAGCUAUAGAUCAAAAGUUGGAAAAAUUGGAGCAAAUGCAGAAAGAAAUGCAGGAAGAGAUGCAAGGGCAAAUGCAAGAGAAAUUAGAUAGGAUCCAGCAAGAUAUGAAAGAUCAAAUACUAGAAUCUCAGAGGAGUAUGAUGAGCGAAUUGACUCAGCUACUAGUUGGAAGGCCAGAAAAGGGGAAGAGUCCCAUGGUCAAUGCUGAGGAUGAUAGCGGGAUUCUUGCUUACCCUCCGGGUUUUACCCCAACAAAUACCCCAGUGCCUCCGCAAAAGGUGUUUGCCAGUAUCAAACCCCAAUAUCAGACUGGUACUUCGGCAGUAAUGUCCUGACGGGUUCGUGUUCCAACCCUGAAGACCAUCAGACAAAUCCUACAGUCCUUGACUUCGAUGAGGUCACGGAAGUAGGAAAGGCAGGAGAAAAAUUUCCAAAGCGACUAGAAGACUGAUAUAAAUGGUUGGAGGAAAAAUUCAGGGCGUUGGAAAGCGCUGAUUAUCAUUGCGGAAUUGAUGCCAAGGAGUUAAGCCUAGUCCCAAAUCUGGUACUCCCUCCAAAGUUCAAAAUGCCAGAAUUUGAAAAAUACAACGGAACCAGUUGCCUUGAGGCUCAUAUCACGAUGUUUUGUCGGAGAAUGACUGGUCAUGUCAAUAAUGAUCAGUUAUUGAUCCACAAUUUCUAGGACAGUUUGACUGGGGCUACGGCCAAAUGGUACAAUUAGUUGAAUCGUAGCCAAGUUAAAUCGUGGAAGGACUUAGCACAGGCCUUUAAGAAACAAUAUGGCCAUGUGACUGACAUAGCGCCUGAUAGGAUCAUAUUACAGAACAUGGAGAAGAAGUCAAAUGAAAGUUUCAGGUAAUAUGCUCAGAGAUGGAGGGAUAUUGCUACACAAGUCCAACCCCCAUUGUUGGAAAAAGAAACAACCAUGCUUUUCAUUAAUAUCUUGAAGGCACAUUUUAUUAAUCACAUGCUGGGAAGCGCAACUAAGAGUUUUGCGGAUAUAGUUAUGUCUAGUAAAAUGAUUGAGAAUGCAAUAAGGUGUGGAAAGAUAGAGAAAAUGAAGUCAACAAUGUGAAUAUGGGUUAUAUAAAACCAAUCAUGGUAAAUCAACUGAAAGUGGUAGCCACGGACCAGCAAGCUUCACUAAGGCAGGAGCCUAAUACAAAGCAGAACACGGAGAAGCCCCAGUUUACUCCUAUUCCAAUAACGUAUCGGGAGCUGUACAAAAGUUUGUUUGAUGCACAUGUUGUAUCUCCUUUCUGCUUAAAACCACUGUAACCCCUAUACCCCAAGUGGUAUGAUGCAAAUGCUCAAUGUGAAUAUCAUGCUGGAAUCAAGGGACACUCGAUAGAGAACUGCACCUCUUUUAAGAGGGUAGUCAAAAGGCUCAUCAACAUGGGUGUUGUGAAAUUUGAUGAUGCACCUGGUGUAGGAAAUCCGUUACCCAAUCAUACUGAUAAAUGGGUAAACGAAAUAGUCAAGAAUACGGGGAGGAGAAUUAAGUUGGAUGUGGUAGAAGUGAGAACCCCGAUGAAGGAGUUUUUGAAGAAGAUGGUAGAGAAAGGUCUAAUCAUACAAGACUUUGGGAGCAAAUCCCUAGAAGUAGAGAACUAUUGUGAGUUCCAUAGGGAGGAGGACCAUGAGAUAGAAACAUGUAAUGAAUUUAGGGCCCUGGUACAGGCUCUAAUGGACAACAAAGAGCUGGAGUUUUUUGAGUUUACUGAGAAGGAAGAUGUAUGCACCUCGGAGGAGGGGUUGAUAGAGAAGGUUUCUGAGGUCAAUCACCCAGUAGUGAUCAUUUCGCGACCGAAAAUUAAUAAAGUUGGAGCAAAAAUUACACCGAGAGUUGUAAUCCAGAGACCCGCGGCUUUUCCAUAUAAGGAUAACAAAAGGAUGUCUUGGAAUUACAACUGUAAUGUGACAUAUCCAAGAGAGGAGAGUCUGGUCAGCACGCCAAGUACAAAGGUCGAGCCUGGAAAAGGGAAGUCCGUGAUGAUUGAACAAGGGAAAAAGAGGACAAAACCACUGGUUAAUGAACCAGUAACUGAAGAUGAAGCUAAAGAAUUUUUGAAGUUCCUAAAACACAGUGAGUAUAGUGUUAUGGAAUAGUUGCACAAGCAGCCGACACGCACAUUGGUACUAGCUCUGCUCCAAAACUCAGAGGUUCACCGAAAUGCAUUGAUGAAGGUGUUGAACAAGACAUAUGUCGCUGAAGAUAUUUCAGUGGACAAGCUAGACCGCCUUGUCAGUAACAUAAGCGCCGAUAACUUUAUCUCCUUCAGUGAUGAUGAAAUACCACCAGGGGGCAUGGGAUCCACCAAGGCUCUGCACAUCACCACUCGCUGCAAGGGGUAUACAUUACCAGGGGUACUAGUUGAUAAUGGAUCGGCAUUGAAUGUUUUGCCCCUAUCCACGUUGAAUAGGUUGCUAAUAGAUAGUUCUCACAUGAAAACGUGCCAGAACAUAGUGAGGGCAUUUGAUGGCACCGAAAGAAAGGUAAUGGGAAGGAUUGAGGUACCUCUUUUGAUCGGACUGAACACAUAUGAGGUAGAUUUUCUGGUGAUGGAUAUCAAGCCUUCUUAUAAUUACUUGUUGGGGAGGCCUUGGAUUCACUUGGCAGGGGCAGUAUCGUCACGUUGCACCAAAAUUUAAAGUUGGUGAUGGAGGGCUGCUUGAUAACGAUAAAUGCCAAGGAGGACAUUAUUACAUCCGUUACUAGUAGUGCACCGUAUAUAGAAAAUGAUGAUGAAGCAAUUGAGUGUUCCUUUUGGUCAUUGGAGUUUGUAAAUGCAACUUUCAUCAUUGAAGGGGGCAGGGUCCCAAUGCCAAGAAUAUCUAAGGCUACGAGGAUGAGCUUGCAAUUAACAGUAGGAAAGGGAGCAUUGCCUGGAAAAGGACUUGGAAAGUAUAUUUAUGGACGAGUUAAGGUGCCGGUUUUGGCUGAUAAACAAGAUCGCUUUGGCUUAGGGUAUAGGCCAAAUACAAAGCAGAAAAGAAAGGAGAUGGAAAUGAGGCAAAAGAGACGAACAGCACGACUGAAUGGGGCAGAAGUCGAGUGGGAAUCAAUGACUUUUCCCCAUAUAUCCUAUACAUUUGUGUUAGGUGGAGUUAUUUAUCCUGAAUUGAAGAUAACAAGAGAGGGAACAGCUGAAUACUCAAUGGAAAAUUUGAAUAUCAAUGUCAUAUCUGAAGAGAAAGUGAUGAAACGUGACUUAGCAAGCAUUCGCCCUUAUGAGCCUGGAAGUGUUCUGAACAACUGAACUGCGGAGGAAAUUCUUGUAGUUUUUAGUGCUAAUACAGAGUAAUGUUCAAAACACACUUGUUGUUUUAAAGCCUAGAAGCAAUAAGAAUAUUUUGCGAAAUAGGCUCAUGUUCAAAACGUUUAUUUCCAUAUAAAUACACUUUCAUGUCUUAUUCUGAGCAAAUAUUAUUUUAUCUUGAGCAAAUUUUCUUUUCUUGCAUUUCAUUUAUAAUCAUACCAUGCAAAUAAAGCUAUACUUAGGUUCAUUUGUUUGUUGGAUAUUCUUUCGUGCCUACAAUAGGUCUCUAGAUAUCAAUGGCAUGAGUGACGCUGUUACAAACCCGGAGUUCCUUUUUGAGCGAGACGUGUGUCUAGAGGGAUCUCAGGAUUUUGAAGAUGAUGAAGACUGUAGCUUACCUUCAGAUUUGUUAAGGAUGGUAGAACAGGAGGAGAAACAGAUUCUACCGCAUAAAGAGACAAUCGAGAGUGUAACCUUGGAAGAGGGGAAAGAGGUGAACAUUGGAACUUGCAUAACUGAGGAAACAAGACAGGACCUCAUUGAUUUACUACAAGAUUUCAAAGAUAUCUUCGUGUGGUCAUAUCAAGACAUGCCUGGGCUAAGUGCUAAUAUUGCGGUGCAUCGCGUCCCCAUAAAAGAAGAGUGCAAGCCUGUUCAACAGAAACUUCGAAGGAUGAGACUCGAUGUUGCAGUAAAAAUAAGAGAAGAGGUCUGAAAGUAAUUUGAUGCCAGGUUCGUGCAAGUUGUUAAUUAUUCAGAAUGGGUAGCUAACGUCGUCCCUGUCCUUAAGAAAGAUGGAAAAGUGCGGAUGUACGUAGAUUACAGAGACUUGAACAAGGCCAGCCCAAAGGACAACUUCCCAUUGCCUUACAUUGACACUUUGGUGGAUAACACGGUAGGUUAUUCACUGUUCUCUUUCAUAGAUGGUUUCUUUGGGUAUUAUUAGAUAAAGAUGUAUCCUGAAGGCAGGGAAAAAACCACAUUCACAAUCUUAUGGGGGACUUUUUAUUAUAAAGUGAUGCGAUUUGGGUUGAAGAAUGCGGGAGUAACGUAUCAAAGAGCCAUGGUAACCUUGUUUCACGACAUGAUGCACAAGGAAAUUUAGGUUUACAUCGAUGAUAUGAUUGCAAAAUCCCGAACAGAAAAAGAGCACAUAUAGGUUUUGAGGAAAUUGUUAUUAAGGCUGAGAAGGUUUCAGCUAAAGCUCAAUCCAACAAAGUGCACUUUCGGGGCUAGGUCAGGGAAGCUGCUUGGUUUCAUAGUCAGUGAGAAGGGAAUUAAGGAUGACUCUGACAAAGUAAGGGCUAUACAAAAAUUGUUUCCACCGCGCACUCAGAAGGAAGUUCGAGGGUUUUUGGGAAGACUAAAUUACAUUGCCCGGUUCAUCUUGCAAUUGACAGAGAAAUGUGAUACCAUAUUUCACCUUCUCAAGAAAUAUAACCCAGGUGUAUGGGAUGAUGAAUGCCAGAAAACCUUCGACAGGGUUAAACAAUAUUUGACCAAUCCCCCAGUGCUAACGCCAUCCAGCCCUGGUAUGCCAUUGAUAUUGUAUUUGACAGUAUUUGACAAUUUAAUAGGAUGUGUGCUCGGUCAACAUGAUGAGAUGGGAUAUACUACCUCAGUAAGAAAUUCACUGAGUGUGAAAUGAGAUACUCGCCAAUUGAAAAACUAUGUUGUGCUUUAGUUUGGACUACUCGGAGAUUGAGGCAGUACAUGUUAUACCAUACGACUCGGUUAAUCUCGAAAUUAGACCCUUUAAAGUACAUGAUAGAGUCAGCUGCUUUGAGCAGAAGGAUGGCCCGAUGGCAAAUUCUGCUUUCCGAAUUCGACAUAGUUUAUGUGAACCAGAAGGAUGUGAAAGGGAGUGCAAUAGCAGAUUUUCUAGCCAGCAGAGCUUUAGAAGAUUAUGAGUCUUUGAACUUUGAUUUCCCUAAUGAAGAACUAACAGAUGUGGCAACUACCAAAGAGGACACUUCAGAAGAUCAUCUGUGGAAACUGAAUUUUGACGGAGCAUCAAACGCUGUUGGUAAUGGAAUUGGGGCAGUCCUGAUAUCCCUAGAUGGAGAUCAUUAUUCACUUGUAAAUUAGAUUUUGAUUGCACAAAUAAUAUUGUAGAGUACGAGGCAUGUAUCAUGGGAAUCCGUGCAGAAAACCAGAUAGCAAAUGCCUUGGCUACGUUAGCUUCUAUGAUCAGAGUAAAUGUACGAGAGGAUAUGGGGCCGAUCUAGAUGAGUAUUUGCGAGGCUCCAGCUCAUUGCUGUAAUAUAGACGACGAAGAAGGGAGAGAUGAUUAUCCUUCGUAUCAUGAUAUUUUGCGAUAUGUGAAAAGCUGUGAAUAUCCUGAUCAGGCAACUUAAAAUGAUAAGAGGACGUUGAGAAGGCUAGCUAGUGACUAUGUCUUAGAUGGAUAAAUCUUGUAUAAAAGGAGGAAAGAUCAGGUGCUGUUAAGAUGUGUUGAUGUUGUUGAAGCUAAGAAAAUCCUGGAAGAAGUCCAUGAAGAUGUCUGCGGGAUGCAUGCCAAUGGAUUCACAAUGACCAGGCAAAUUAUGAAAUUUGGGUACUACUGGUCCACAAUAGAAGGAGAUUGCAUCAGCUAUGCCAAGAAAUACCAUAAGUGCCAAAUUUAUGGUGACAAGAUCCACGUGCCUCUUUCACCCCUUCAUGUCAUGACUUCUCUGUGGCCUUUCUCAAUGUGGGGCAUGGAUGUCAUUGGGCCGAUUUCACUGAAGGUUUCUAAUGGACAUCGAUUCAUCUUUGUGGUUAUCGAUUACUUCACCAAAUGGGUAGAGGCUGCUUCAUAUGCCAACGUCACAAAGUCGGCAGUCAGCAAGUUCUUGAAGAAGGAGAUCAUAUGUCGAUAUGGCAUGCCAGAAAGGAUCAUAUCUGACAACGCGUUGAGUUUGAAUAACAGUGUGAUAGUAGAGGUUUGCAGGCAAUUCAAAAUUAAGCACCACAACUCGUCACCAUAUCGCCCGAAAAUGAAUGGUGCGGUUGAGGUAGCUAAUAAGAAUAUCAAGAAGAUCGUGGGGAAAAUGACUGAGACCUACAAGGAUUGCCAUGAAAAGUUACCAUUUGCUCUGUAUGCCUAUCGAACAUCUGUCAGAACGUCUACCGGGGCAACACGUUACUCAUUGGUUUAUGGGAUGGAGGCAGUUUUGCCUAUUGAAGUCGAGAUUCCUUCUCUUCGGGUUUUAUCAGAGUUGAAGCUGGACGAAGCAGAAUGGAUCCAGUCCCAGUAUGAUCAGCUGAACUUGAUUGAGGAAAAGAGGUUGAAGGCUAUCUGUCAUGGUCAAAUGUACCAAAAGCGAAUGAUGCGAGCGUACAACAAAAAGGUUUGCCCUAGAGUAUUCCAUGAGGGAGACUUGGUAUUAAAAAGAUCCUCCCUUUACAGAAAAAUUUCAGAGGGAAGUGGAUGCCAAACUAGGAAGGACCUUAUGUGGUAAAGAAGGUUUUUUCUGGAGGAGCACUGAUAUUAAUUGAGAUGAAUGGUAAUAGCCUGCCUAACCCAGUAAAUUCGGAUUCAGUCAAGAAGUACUUCGCUUAAAAGGUGAAAACCCGCAAAAGGCGCCUUGAGACGAAAUGGGUUUUGAAUUGAAAACCCAAAAAGGGCAAUUCAAAUUUUGACCAAUGAUGGGGCAGGUAGUAGUCUUGCUAUGCUAGAAUUAAUGAAGAGGAAGUACGCAUGUCUUGGGGCAUCGACAGAAUACGUUAGAUCUCCUAGGCACAUGAUAAGCUUAAAAUGGUCCUCGUGAAGUUCAUACAGAGGAGCUUUGGCUGCGAUAUCUGGGGCAUUCAUUUUUGUUCCCCUUUACCUAUUUUCGUACUCUGGCAAUAUUUGCUUCCCUUGAUUAAUCUAUUCUUCUUGAAUCUUGUUCCUAAUAAAUUUUAAUUUUGUCUAUAUUUAUCUUGAUGUUCGAGCGCUUGUAUUGAAAUAAUGGUUAAUGGACUAAUAAUACUUUUACAAAAAAAGGUUUUUGUAUAUUACUCUGGAAGUUUCUAAAUGGAACAAGAAUAUGAAACAGGACUUUUGAUUAGAACUUACCCAACUUAGGGGUGGGAUAUUUGUGUUCAAAUAGGGAUUAUCUCUUCAGAUUUUCAGUCAAAGAUAUUUAUUGAAUAAGAAAACAGGAUAUUGUGUCAACCAAGCAUAAGAGGGGAUCAUGAUAUUCCAAAUUAGCGUAAUAUCGGGCGUGCACAUCUGGUCAUGGGGCCUGGGGAGUGGUGUAAUAGACCAAAUUGAUGGAAGAGGGGGUUUUGAAGAUGGUACAAACCUUAGGUUCUAGAAGUACAGUAAAACAGACCCUGAAGUUGCAAUUAGGCAAACCAGUUGAGCAAAAUGUGUUGUUUUUACAAGUUUUGUUGAGAAAUGCUAGUCGAGUAAGAAGGCAGCAUAAUACGAUGGUGAUAAAGCUCUGAUGAAUAAUGAGUGAUGACACUUAAAGCUUUUUUUAAACAUUUUCAUUUCUACAUUCAUAUCAUUCAUAGUACAUUUGGUUAGGAGCAUCUGAUUCAUUUCGGUCAUAACAUUCUAAUCAUUUGGCAUAAACAUAAAAAUGAAACCGAGUCUGCAGGGUAUGUUCCCCAUAGAACAGUGUAGCGACAUCGGUAAAAAUUACAGAUCUUAUCUCCAUGUAUCGGUUAUGAAGCAGAUCGAAAAUGGCGAGUCUUAUCUCCAUGUAUCGGCUAUGGAGCAAAUUUUAGUCACCAGCCUUAUCUCUCUGAAGUUGCAGUGGAGCAGGCUCAAUAUGCAAGUCUUAUCUUCUUGAAGUUGCAGGAAGCAGACCAAAAAUUACAUAUCUUAUCUCCAUGUAUUGGCUAUGGAGCAGAUCGAAAAUGGCAAGUCUUAUCUCCAUGUAUCGGCUAUGGAGCAGAUUUUAUCCACUAGCCUUAUCUCUCUGAGGAAGCAAGAGAGCAGGUUGAAGAUACAAGUCUUAUCUUCCUGAAGUUGCAGGAAGCAGACUGAAAAUUACAUAUCUUAUCUCCAUGUAUCGGCUAUGGGGCAGAUCGAAAAUGGCAAGUCUUAUCUCCAUGUAUCCGCUAUGGAGCAGAUUUUAGCCACCAGCCUUAUCUCUCUGAAGUUGCAGUGGAGCAGGCUCAAUAUGCAAGUAUUAUCUUCUUGAAGUUGCAGAAAGCAGACUAAAAAUAAUAGAUCUUAUUUCCAUGUAUUAGCUAUGGAGUAGAUCAAAAAUGGCGUGUCUUAUCUCCAUGUAUCGACUAUGGAGCGGAUUUUAGCCACCAACCUUAUCUCUGUGAGGUAGCAAGAGAGCAGGUUGAAGAUAUAAGUCUUAUCUUCCUAAAGUUGCAGGAAGCAGACUAAAAAUUACAGAUCUUAUCUCCAUGUAUUGGCUAUGGGGUAGAUCGAAAAUGGCGAGUCUUAUCUCCAUGUAUCAGCUAUGGAGCAAAUUUUAGCCACCAGCCUUAUUUCUCUGAAGUUGCAGUGGAGCAGGCUCAAUAUGCAAGUCUUAUCUUCCUGAGGUAGCAAGGAAGCAGAUUGAAAAUAAUAGAUCUUAUUUCCACGUAUCGGCUAUGGAGCAGAUCGAAGAUGGCGAGUCUUAUCUCCAUGUAUCGGUUAUGGAGUAGAUUUUAGCCACCGGCUUUGUCUCCCUGAAGUUACAGUGGAGUAGGUUGAAGUCACAAACCUUAUCUUCCUGAAGUUGCUAUAAGACUACUUGAAGAAGAGGAGCACCAAAGAAGUCAAAGAUUCAGCAAGACCGGGCAAAAUUGGUCAUUUUAGAGUCUUUGCUCCGUUCUCGUUACACAACAAUGAGCAAAGAGGGGCAGCUGUAAGACCCAAUUUUGGCCCGGGCCCAUACACAUACAAAAACAAAAAAUAUAAAUAUUAAAUAAGUCCAUUUACAAAUAAUAGCCAGCCCAAUUACAUUAAAUAAUUGCCCAAUACCCUAAAAAUACAAAGGCCCGAUAGGCCCAAAAUUUUGAGGGUCUCGGAAACCCUAAGUUUCCCUUGCGCCGCAGCACCCACGUUCAACGCUCGUCCACCACGCACGUUGCCACAACAAGCACAACCCCCAGCUCGUUCAUUGCUCGCCCACAUCCAC